rnacentral:rRNA from 1 species
ACAGCAGCAGCCGCGGGAAAACGGAGGGUGCAAGCGUUAUCCGGAUUCAUUGGGUUUAAAGGGUCCGUAGGCGGAUCUGUAAGUCAGUGGUGAAAUCUCACAGCUUAACUGUGAAACUGCCAUUGAUACUGCAGGUCUUGAGUAAAUUUGAAGUGGCUGGAAUAAGUAGUGUAGCGGUGAAAUGCAUAGAUAUUACUUAGAACACCAAUUGCGAAGGCAGGUCACUAAGAUUUAACUGACGCUGAUGGACGAAAGCGUGGGGAGCGAACAGGAUUAGAUACCCCAGUAGUCCCUGUCUCUUAUAC